rnacentral:rRNA from 1 species
UACGUAGGGGGCAAGCGUUGUCCGGAAUUAUUGGGCGUAAAGCGCGCGCAGGCGGCCGCUUAAGUCUCGUGGUUAAGCCCGGAGCUCAACUCCGGUUCGCACGGGAAACUGGGUGGCUUGAGUGCAGAAGAGGAGAGCGGAAUUCCACGUGUAGCGGUGAAAUGCGUAGAGAUGUGGAGGAACACCAGUGGCGAAGGCGGCUCUCUGGUCUGUAACUGACGCUGAGGCGCGAAAGCGUGGGGAGCGAACAGG